CAUUCGAAAACUAUUUCCCAGGGUAGCACCGUAGUUUAUUCCGCCCAUUGUUUCUUUGACGCUCAUUGUACUUUAGUUUGAGAAAAUUACCUGUAGUAGGCUGUGCUGAGUGAUAAAAGGUGUACCUUCCCACGCAUUUUCCUUUUCAAGAAAAAAGUGUCAGGAGUUGUGACGACCGCGAUCUUCCGCGAAGAGCAAAGCCUGUAGACUUAGCCAUCUGUCACGAAGUUUACGUUAAAUUACUGAGGAGGGCAGGAGUGCACUUUCCAGCAAAUGAGAUGUCCAAGCAGAUAGACGUAACGGUGCCUGACUCUGAAACACUGAGCUCAGAGAAAUCCAAGCGAUUUACGGUGUACAAAGUACUGAUCAAACUACCAGAUGGAAGGAGCUACUUCAUUUUCAGAAGAUACAAUGAAUUUCAUCAGAUGUGUGAUAAGCUUAAAAAGCUGUAUCCUGACUUGCAUCUUAAACUACCUGGCAAGAGACUAUUAGGAAAUAACUUUGACCCUGAGUUUAUCAAGAUCAGAAGAGAAGGUCUUAAUGAUGUCACACAAAAGAUCAUCAAUCACCCAAAAGCCAUUGAAAACCCUGAGGUGAGGGAAUUCUUCUCACUUGAUAAUCCCAAGAAUACUGAGAACAAUGAUGAUGAUGACCAUCCUGGAGCUGAUGAGUCUGAAACUCAGGCAAAGGAUAUGGAUGUUGACUUAGCAGGAACCAACAAUCCAAAGGCAAAACCCAGUGAUUUCUUAUUCUUAAAGGUGAUUGGAAAAGGGAGCUUUGGAAAGGUAUUCCUGUCAAAGAACAAGGCAGAGGAUAAAUUCUAUGCCAUCAAAGUUCUCAACAAGGCUGCUAUCAGAAAAAGAAAUGAGGCAAAACAUAUCAUGGCAGAACGGAAUGUUCUGUUGAAGAAUAUCAAGCAUCCAUUUUUGGUGGGUCUCCACUAUUCUUUCCAAACAAGGGACAAGCUAUACUUUGUCUUAGAUUAUGUCAAUGGUGGUGAGCUUUUCUUUCAUUUGCAAAGAGAGAGAUAUUUCCCUGAACCAAGGGCAAAGUUCUAUGCUGCAGAAAUUGCAUCAGCAAUUGGGUAUCUACACUCUCUUAAAAUCAUUUAUAGGGACUUGAAACCAGAAAACAUUCUCUUAGAUUAUAAGGGGCAUAUAGUUUUAACAGACUUUGGACUUUGCAAGGAGGGAAUAGAAACAUCUGGUACUACAUCAACUUUCUGUGGCACACCAGAGUACCUUGCACCUGAAGUUCUUAAGAAACAGGAAUAUGACAAUUCUGUUGAUUGGUGGUGCCUUGGCGCAGUCUUAUAUGAAAUGAUGUAUGGUUUGCCCCCAUUUUACAGUCGUAAUACAGCAGAAAUGUAUGACAACAUUUUGCACAAACCACUACGUCUGAGGAGCAAUAUUUCUGAGAGUGCAAGGACCCUUCUUGCAGGGCUCCUGCAGAAGGAUCGUACUAAGAGAUUUGGACGAGAUCACGAUUUUGAUGAAAUAAAGAAUCAUGAAUUCUUUAGAUCCAUCGACUGGCAGUUGUUAUAUGACAAGAAGGUAGACCCACCUUACAAUCCAAAUGUGAGUGGUCAACUUGAUCUAAAGCAUUUUGAUCCUGAAUUUGUACGAGAACCUGUACCAGGAUCAGUUGGUAAAUCUGCUGACUCCUCUUUCUUGAGCGCCAGUGUCGAUGACCCAGAUGAUGCAUUUGUAGGCUUCACCUAUGUUCCCCCAACAGAUCUUACUGAAUGAGUUGAACAAGGAAUUUAACUUAAAUGUAAAUUUUCAAACAAAGUGCAAUAAUCAUAAGUUUAUCAUCACCAAGCUCAUCGCCUUUUUUGUUCCAGCAUUCUCUCUGCACCUUUUCCCUUCUAUAGUUAGCUUGUACUCAGUAGGAAUCAACAACUCUUCCUCCCAAGUCUCAUAAAAAGCAAAAACCUAGAUGAUCACAGAGGCCAAUCAACAGAAAGGAGAACAUCAGAAUGAGACAAGGAGAAACAGUAGAUACCUAUGGUGAAACUUAAGUGCCAAAAGCAUGAGUGGCAAAAUCAUAGUUGGUCUAAGUCUUGAGAGGGUGAUACAUGAUUUUUAAACCUACCUUAGAGCAUAGUGAAGCAGAACCAACACAAAUUUUCAUCCUCUUUUGAAUUAAGUAAUAACUUUCUCUGUGUCAGGUAAUUCCCAAUGAAGAAAAAGAAAAAUUUGUUGGAAACGUGGUAGAAACAAGCACUUAUGAAAAUGAUAAUGAUUAUAUUAUAAGAAUUACAAUGUACAUAUACAAUUUGAUAUGUUCUUGAAUGGCAUUGGGUUUCUUAUGAAUGAAUGCCCAAUGUGUGAAGAGAUUGCCAAAAAAUCUAAGUGUAAGAACUGUACAGGGAAAUGACCCUAAAGUGAUUUGUAUGGCCUACUCCAGACUUGAAGAUUCUUGUUAACAUCCAUUAAAAUAAGAAAGUGAAGUGCAUGACUUUACAUACUUAGCCUUUCUCCCUUUUUCUUCCUUCUUUUUUUCUAAUUCUUUUGUCAUUUUUUGAAAUUUCAGAGGCUUGUGUAGUUUGCUAUUCUUGUUCUUUGAGUAGUUUUGUUCGCAAUAUUUACUUUUAGGUUAAUUUGAAAUGUUAUUUUAUUCUAUUAGAGAAUCCCUCAUCAAUCCUUAUUUGUUAACUGGGAAAAUCACUGAUUAUGUGAUAUGAAAUUUAGGUUAAAUAAACCUCCGAUUUCUUCACAAUGAAGGUGUGAGUUCCAAGUUAAGUUGAAUGCUCCACUGAAAAAAGUGCUAAGUCAGUCAGUUGAUCUCCCAUUGAUUUCACCAUUGUGGAAAAGUUUCUUGCCAAACAGCAGCAGUUUUCAACUGCUUUCUGUGUAUAUUCUGCUGGAUUUUUUCUUUAAAUUUUUUAUCCAUGACGUGCCAUUUUAACAUUCACAACAUUUUACAACACCAAAGUCAGUUGUAUUUACUUUUUCAGCUAUGAUAUUCUUUCAGUUUUGUUCAGAUACUUCCCUUGAAAUUUUGUUUGGCAAUAACAAUAUCCAUUUUCACAACCACAAUACUUGACUUAAAAUUGUCAGAAAACUAAAUGUUUCAGUGUGAUACAAAAAUAAAGUCAAGUUUAAAUCA